GUCCUGGGAUGGGAGGCAGCUUUCUUUGGGGAUCAGGGACACUGGUCUGGGUACCUCUCAUUCCCACAGGCACCUCCUGUUGCAGGAACGGGGUCAGGGUGCAAGGUAGCUAAGCAGUCUCAAAAGCCUGAGGUCUGACCAGAUUUGUGAAGUGCCUGGAGAAAAGAUGGGGGAAGGGAUAUUAGCAUGACACCUCCAGAUGAGUGGGAUGGGGGCAAGGGUGGCCUUAUGCACCCACCUCUCCACCCCUGAGACACCAGGCUGAUCAGAAAGCACCACCCCUUGGGGAUUCCGGAGAUGCCCUUGACAUCCACGGGAGGAGGAAGACUUUGACCUUGACUUGACUUUGGCUCAGAGGAGGCCUGGCUUUUUCUUUCCACAGCAGCAGCAGCGCCUGGCAGUCUGCAUCAUUUCGCCACAGUGUGAAACCAUUGGCUGAUGUAUAAAGUGGAAGCCCCAGGAACCUCUCAAGGCCCAGCUUCAGCCUCACCUUCCCUGUGGUCUUCUUCAAGCAGACCCAUACCAAGCUCUCUGUGCUUUGGAAACUGCCAGUGAGGUGAAGUGGGGAGGCAUCGGAGCGACAGCCACGUUGUAUGCCUGCUGCACGAGCCAGACCGCAGGACAAUACUCAAUGAGAGGCACCAACAUCCAUCCUGGCUGAGCUGAUGAUGGUGAGAGGCCACAGAGCCAUGAAAAUGACUUGGAGCAGCCUCCAUGUAUUCCUCAGGGUUGAAUCAUUGUGUGCACCACAGAGCAUUUGCUUUGUAAAAAAGCUAACACUGUGAAAAAUGGGGUAGGCACUUCCUGUUUUGACCAGGAACAAAUGCAAACCAGACCCUGCUCCUCUCACCAGGCAGAGCUUGCUCUUUCAAUUCAGAGAUAUCUUCAAGGACCCAAUUAUGCUGUGGUGCGGAAUGGAGCAUGUAUGUAACUGAGGUUCCUGCCAAAGACAUCAUCUCCUGGCUGAAUGGCAAGACUGGCCAGGACACCAGGAAACUGAGACUGAUUGGACACACAAGAAUGUGAGCUGAAAUUGUGAUCAACCAGAAUCCAGAACACGCUGUGCUUAAUGGAGUGAACUGCCUGUGAAGCGCAGGUGUGAGGGGCGGAUGAUAAGUGACAGUGCCGGUGCCCCCAGCGCCCUUUUACCUGAUGGCUCACCCGGCCUACAGCUGCGCCCUUCCCUUUGAAUCGUCUUGGGUAACGGGUGCUGCUUUGGAAAUGCCUGGAAGGUCAUGUCCUUUGUCUGGGGAUGGCUUCCAGCUGUGGUUGACUGAUAGCAGGGGGCACAGAAGGCCAGACACAACUUGCCUCAGGUGGGCCGACUCUGAGGGUUUGUUCGGCCUCCACGUGGACUUCAGCUGAGCCUGCAUCUUUGCUUGGCUUUUCCCACUGGCCUAUUCUGCUUCCCUCUCCUUAAGGGUUCUCCCAGGAGAACUCCCUUAAUAAAUCACUUG
rnacentral:lncRNA from 1 species